rnacentral:rRNA from 1 species
UACAGAGGGGGCAAGCGUUAUUCGGAAUUAUUGGGCGUAAAGAGCGUGUAGGCGGCCACGCAGGUCCGUUGUGAAAACUGGAGGCUCAACCUCCAGCUGUCGACGGAAACCGUAUGGCUAGAGUCCGGAAGAGGAGAGUGGAAUUCCUGGUGUAGCGGUGAAAUGCGCAGAUAUCAGGAAGAACACCAAUGGCGAAGGCAGCUCUCUGGGACGGUACUGACGCUGAGACGCGAAAGCGUGGGGAGCGAACAGG